rnacentral:misc_RNA from 1 species
GAUGAAGAACGUAGCGAAAUGCGAUACUUGGUGUGAAUUGCAGAAUCACGUGAACCAUCGAGUCUUUGAACGCAAGUUGCGCCCGAAGCCACUAGGCCGAGGGCACGCCUGCCUGGGCGUCACACGCCGUUGCCCCCCCAUCUACUCCUUCGGGAUUGCGGGGGGGCGGAUGAUGGCCUCCCGUGCGCCUAGCCGCGCGGUUGGCAUAAAUACCAAGUCCUCGGCGACGCACGCCACGACAAUCGGUGGUUGCGAAACCUCGGUUGCCCGUCGUGUGCGUUCGUCGCGCAUCGAGGGCUCGAAAAAAUGCUCGGCUCCGGCUGGGCUUUCAACGCGACCCCAGGUCAGGCGGGGUUACCCGCUGAAUUUAAGCAUAUCAAUAAGCGGAGGA